rnacentral:snRNA from 1 species
AUGUGUUACAGCUCUUUUAGACUUUGUCCAGGUUUUCUAACUUUUGUCAGAAAUCCCAC